rnacentral:rRNA from 1 species
UACGAAGGGGGCUAGCGUUGUUCGGAAUUACUGGGCGUAAAGCGUAUGCAGGCGGACUUGCAAGUCGGGGGUGAAAGCCCGAGGCUCAACCUCGGAACUGCCCUCGAUACUGCAAAUCUCGAGUCCGAGAGAGGUGAGUGGAAUUCCUAGUGUAGAGGUGAAAUUCGUAGAUAUUAGGAAGAACACCAGUGGCGAAGGCGGCUCACUGGCUCGGUACUGACGCUGAGGCGCGAAAGCGUGGGGAGCAAACAGG